ACAGUACAAACUGAGCAGGCCAAAGGCGUUUACUGCCUUGGGAGCCGGGCCGCAGGCAGCGGCAGCAGACAGAAGCGUCUGUGGGACAGUG
ncrna:unclassified sequences NiCo riboswitch